ensembl:lncRNA
AGAGAAGGACCUGGGGGUCCUGGUGGAUGACAGACUUAACGUGAGCCAGCAGUGUGCUCUUGCAGCUCGGAAAGCAAAUGGUAUCCUGGGCUCCAUCAGAAGAGGGGUGGCCAGCAGGGACAGGGAGGUGAUUGUCCCUCUCUGCUCUGCUCUUGUGAGGCCCCAUCUGCAGUACUGUGUCCAAAACUCUGAAAAGGAGCUGCAAACGUCGAGGUUCAGAGGAACCAGGAAUCCUGGCCUGCCAUCCGUACAGCCUGCUGACCUCCAGGUGGAUGUGUGAAGCAAGGAGCUGUGCCCUGGAAGCCCCAGAUGAGUGUGUGGGUCAUGUGCUGCAAGCUCCCAGGUUGCAGGGGUCCGUUUCCGUGCUGUCUGCCGAUGGUGCUGCCUGAAGGAAAACCAUGGAAACGGAGUUUGACAGGCUCACAGGGACCCACGGCUGCCAGAGCCGCUGCCUUUGAGCGCCUGAUGAAGACAUCACAGAGCAAACACAACAUUAAAACGCUGCUGGCUGCUUUGCAUCACUUAGAAUGCAAAUCUCUUUGUUCUGCUCGGCCCUUGCGUUUUGUAGCCGAGGAAUCUGUGCUAUCAUCUAACAUGGAUUUGCUGACCUUUCUUCCCUCGCUGUCCGUUCUCCUAAAAAAAAAAAAAAUAUUUAAAAAAUAUUGUAAAAGAUCAGCUUUUGUGGGAAGGAGGGUGGCGUGGGUCUGUGCAUUUGAAAUGGCCCCAGUUUUUUUCAGUUCCUGGGAUUUCUGUGCACAAAUUAAACACCCAUAUUGCAGAGCAGGCUGGGUUGGGUUGCUUUGUUGCUCCCUGUGUAUUAUUUGACUUGGAUUCAUUUACAUGGCAACUCACAGGGGUAGAUUUUAUGUCAUCUUUAUGCCACAGAUUAAAAGGUAAAAGUAAUCCUUUAUUUGCACAGCACAUCCCCUCCAACCCUUUAAGCCGUACAGAUGAAAAUAGAGGAGAAAAAUGCAAACUCUCCCACCACCAUAAUGCCUACUUUAUAACUUUUUAUGCUAAAUUUAAGUGUGUGGUUAUUAUUCCGCCCUCCAUUUGUAGGUGGCCUGUACUUUUAACUGCAGUUUCUGAUUGCAGUCACUGUCAGACCUUUGAAAUGCCCCACACCUUUGUGCUCAGAUGUGGGAUUUGGGUGGCUCCUGACAGGCUGAGCUAUGCAUGGGGCCAUCAGGAAGGCUUUUUUGCUGAUUGGAGGAACCAUUGUGAGCAUCUGCAGUAGGAAAUAGCUGCUGGGGAGAGGCAAACAAACUGGCUAUUCUCUCAGAAGUGAUAAUUUAUCAUUUCAUUCUCCCUAUGCUGCAUAACUCACACAUUACUUACGCUGAGAGAGGGCUAUCAUCACUAAACUGGAAACAAUACACAAAACUUAGAGCUGCAGCUUGCAGUCAGGAAAUUAUUUAAGCUUGUGUGUAAAUCCGCCUCCAUCACGGUUCAGUAAGGCUUAAAUGGGCAUUUAGGUUAAGACUAUUCUCAAAGACUUUCCUAAAAAUACAGAUGCAGGUCUUACCUAAGUAGCUCCUCCGUAAGCUUUGGGAAGCUUGUCCUCAGGGGCCAAGGAAAGCAGUGUGUGACUGGUCCCUGCCUGGACUAGAGGCCUGCCACCAGAUGAGCACCUUCAUGGGUAUAUCUUGAGAUUAGACCAGAAUGAAGCUACUGGCUCCUGCUCAGACUUUCUUCUAAUAAAACUGGGGCCACUGAGGGUAAGGCAUAGAAAGGCCACAGUUUUGCUGCCCUCAUCUUUAGGGAGAUCAGUUCUGCAGCUGGAAACACAGGACAGACCCAGGGCGAAAGAGUUUUUCAAGUGAUGGUCAAGUCCCAUCGCUUUCCUUGCUGCUGCCAAGUGGAUGCCAUUCAGUGCCAGAGAAGAAGGGUCUGCCUGGACAAGGUUUCCAAGCGAGCAUUUGUUUUCUGCUUCUUGUACCGAGCCCAAGCUGCUUUGAGUCUGUUUUGCUGCUGCAACCUGGGAAGAGGCACACUUAGCAGCAUGGGUUAGCUGUCUCCACAGAAACUAUUAUUUGUGGGUGAAAUCACCGUGCAGUUAUUGGAAACAGCAGCUAUAAAUCUCCACGUAAGUGUUAAGGCCUCGUCACACAGUAUUUUCUCAGUCUCCACAAUGAUCCAGGUGCUCGUUUCUCUCAGCUUCCUAAGUUCCUUAUGGUUAUGCAGUUCAUUCUCUUUUUGCUCUCUCUUCCACUCUUUUUCUUCCUUUUUAGGCUGACUUCUGGAAAGACCUUCUCUUUUCUUGCAGACUCAUUGACUGCUUUCCUAACUCAAUUCCUCGUGCAAGACCCUGUAGAAGUGACAUUUACAAAAACACCAUUUUGAGACCUCAUUUUUUUCCUGCCCAUUGAUGUCCUCUCAGUUUGAAUUGCAGUGUUUAAUUUCGACUGUGAGGCAAAGUUGGCAGUUUCCUGACUAACCCAAUGUUAGAUCAGAAAAAAGAAUGAAAACCAGAAAGGUGCCUUAGAAUGUCUAAGCAGAAGACAAUCAAAUUUCUAUGUCAAAAAGAGGGCAAAACCAAGAAUGUGGGACUUGCAUGAAAAAUCUUGCAGACAGUUAUUUUUUCCUCUUCCUCUAUUUCACAGUGGGACAAAUUCCACUUUUAUUUCAGUUCAUCUGUAAAACAUGAGGAGCCAGCUGAGCGUAGCAUUGGUUCAGAAUGAGGGCAGCUGACAAGGGAAAGGUAAAAGGAACUAGUAACUCCUGCAGUUCUCUCCAAUAAAUGUCUUCAGUGCAAAGAAAAACCAACAAAAAAACCCCUCAAAUUAACUUCUAAAGAAUAGAGGAAGGCACUAGGACGUCAUCUAACAUCUAACACAGCAGACUCCAAAGUGUAAUUAAUGCAUUAAUUGUUUAUAUAUAGAGCAUCAUGUCCUGCUGUGUCGGGCUUUCUACACAUCGAUGAUCAUGUUGCCUCUUUUAUCUCCUUAUGAAGGAUUGCAGACGAGAAGGAAGCAGCUCUACAAGUCUGGGAUCAGAGUUAAUGGUUAGGACAUAGAUGCAGGUGGAAGAGAGAAACAUGGAAGAGCAGGCUGACCGAAGGCUGGGGCCAGCUGCUUUCAUUCACACUUAAGGCACCUGGGCUAUUUUGAGGGUGAAUUCUAGCUCCAGUAUUUUUUUAUAUAUACUGAAUACCACUCUGUGUUACUUUGAUUCAGGGAAGAGUAAAACCUGCAAUUCA